CCCGUAGGGGGCGAGCGUUGUCCGGAUUUAUUGGGCGUAAAGAGCUCGUAGGCGGCUUAGUAAGUCAGGUGUGAAACCUCCAGGCUCAACCUGGAGACGCCACCUGAUACUGCUGUGGCUAGAGUCCGGUAGGGGAGCAGGGAACUCCUGGUGUAGCGGUGAAAUGCGCAGAUAUCAGGAAGAACACCAGCGGCGAAGGCGCUGCUCUGGGCCGGAACUGACGCUGAGGAGCGAAAGCGUGGGGAGAAAACAGG
rnacentral:rRNA from 1 species